rnacentral:tRNA from 2 species
GGGGAGGUUCCCGAGUGGUCAAAGGGGGCAGACUGUAAAUCUGUUGGCUCAGCCUUCGAAGGUUCAAAUCCUUCUCUCCCCA